UGGUCCUUAUAAGUGUCUAGCUGA
rnacentral:siRNA from 1 species